AAACAUUGAUGUUUAACAGAAAUUGACUCUUUUGCUUGAAGGUUGGAGACUACAUGAGACUUUGACAGAUGGCGGGAAACCCUUCUCAACUGGUAGAGGAAACCUUGAGGCUGAUACACGGGCCACGUUAUAGGUCUUUUUGCGAAGAAGUGCCAGAUCAGAGGACAUCAUUGACUGUAGUAGGGCUGGGACAUAGACCUUGUUCGUUAGUAAGUCAGGAUGAACUUUGGAUGAAGCAGGAACCCGUAACAUGUUUACAUAGUGAAUCCUGUUAGCACGCGGACGCAAGGGCUUAGCUUGGGUUUGAGAGCCGUCUACAUCCCGAAAGGUUGGAGACUACAUGAGACUUUGACAGAUGGCGGGAAACCCUUCUCAACUGGUACGAAGCCGGUAAAUAGAUGGCCAUAAAACAGUGACCGCUGAUUCGCGUUGAGUUCUUUCUUGCAUAACGUAUGACCCCC